GACAGAGGGUGCGAACGUUGUUCGGAAUUACUGGGCGUAAAGCGCAUGUAGGCGGCAGCGCAAGUCGGGCGUGAAAUCCCACGGCUCAACCGUGGAAGUGCACUCGAAACUGCGCAGCUAGAGUCCUGGAGAGGAAGGUGGAAUGCUUGGUGUAGAGGUGAAAUUCGUAGAUAUCAAGCGGAACACCGGUGGCGAAGGCGGCCUUCUGGACAGUGACUGACGCUGAGGCGCGAAAGCGUGGGGAGCAAACAGG
rnacentral:rRNA from 1 species